CCCAGCCCCAAGGAGCUCGGAGGUGCGGAGGAAGCUCUCUUGCUGGCCAGUUUCCGGGAUGCAGCACCCAGAUCUGCAGAAAUGAGAUUUCCCCAUGGCUCUCCACACCUCAUCCAGUGUUAAUGAAAUAACGGGGCACACCAGAGCACAGCUGUGAAGCUCACAGCCGUGGAUGGGCUGUCUGUGCUGCAAGCGGAGGCAGUGAAGAAAGGUUGGGGAGCUGCAAAAAAUGUCUGCACAGAUUUGCUCCACUUACUAAAUGUGCAUGCUUUGGGCAUAUCCUGCAUGCCUGGACAGACAGCAUCUGAGUGGCCUGAAUGCACUUAGAAAACCCAAGUCUGCAUCGCUUAUGUGAGUGUAGAUGCAGAGAUGUCUGCGUUACGCUGCUUUGGAGGAGCAACGCGUCCGACUGGAUACGGGAUGUGGCGUGGGCCCAUGUUGUCUGCUGCCUUCCACCAACAAAUAUCUUGGUCUAAAUACAAAGACUUGCAGGACUGAAAGAUUUCUUUCUGUAGAUUUGUCUGAUUUUGUUCCUAAACCAUGCAGCAUCUGCAGCAGCCCAUGGAAGGAGGGUGUCUCCUCAUGCUUACCCCUCAUCUUCCACUCUCUCCCCACUGCCCUGAGCUGUGCAGGUCUCUGCCCUGUGCCCCUGUUUUUCUCUUUUCUAUGCCAAAGAGCCUCAAUCCAUCACACACUCCACAUGCAGAACCUUGGGUCAUCCUGUUGCCCUUGUCUGCACAUUUUCCUGUUUUGCUGUACUCUUGGAAGGGGAGGACCAGGACCACACAAGGGGAGGUGGGUCUGACCCAGAGAACAGUGAUGCCUCUGACGCAUUCUCUACCUUUUCCUAACCCUUCCCAAAUCAGUUUUGCUGAGAAGUUUUGCAGUUUUGGCCUCCACUGAGUGCUGAGGGGACGUUUUCACAGCUGUCAGAGCUCCUGGCCUCAGAGCACAUCACUUUAGACACUGAGGUCAGGCUUGGUUUCCCCAUGUGUGUCACUUCGCUGACACUGGCUUUCAUCUUGCUUUCUUGCCAAGCUGCUCAGGCUCUCAAAAGUCCUCCUGCCAUUCUUAGCACUCAUCUGCAGUACCCAGAAUAAUUCAGUAUUAUUAGCAGAUUGUGUCACUUCUCCACUGAUCUAUCGUCAAAGGAUCAGCUCGUGGAAAUGCAGGUGACCUCUCAGCUGGAUCUCUCUCAGGCGCCUGCUGCUUUUUCCAUGAAAGCCACUAGCUUUGGAAGAAAGAAACCUCCUUUAAAAGAGCUGUG
ensembl:lncRNA